AUGGAAUACUACUACGCAGGUACAAGCCAGCCAGCAUGGGUUGGGCUGAAGAGAGGAUACGAGCAGUCGGACGGCAAGCUCGACGCCACGGUGACGGACAAGCGGCACAAGUGCGACGACAGUAGUUGGAAGGCCGUCGCUGCGUACGCUCCGACGGCGGGUUCGAAGCGAGCCUACCAGCGAUCCGAGGACGAGAUUGACCCGGUGUUCAUCGACAAGCGGUACAAGGGCAACUACUGGGAGGACCCUGCUUACGCGCUGAUGGUGAAGCGCCGCGGGAGAAAGAAAACCAUGGACGAUGCUCGCCGAGCAGCGCGCCGCCAGGCUGCGUGA
rnacentral:rRNA from 1 species